UACGGGGGGUGCGAGCGUUGUUCGGAAUCAUUGGGCGUAAAGAGCGUGUAGGCGGCUGAAUAAGUCAGAUGUGAAAUCCCUGGGCUCAACCCAGGAAGUGCAUUUGAAACUGUUCGGCUAGAGUAGGGGAGAGGGAAGUGGAAUUCCUGGUGUAGAGGUGAAAUUCGUAGAUAUCAGGAGGAACACCGGUGGCGAAGGCGACUUCCUGGCCCUAUACUGACGCUGAGGCGCGAGAGCGUGGGGAG
rnacentral:rRNA from 1 species